GACGAACGCUGGCGGCGUGCUUAACACAUGCAAGUCGAACGGAAAGGCCCCUUUGGGGGUACUCGAGUGGCGAACGGGUGAGUAACACGUGAGUAACCUGCCCUUGACUUCGGGAUAACUUCAGGAAACUGGGGCUAAUACCGGAUAGGAAUCCUUGCUGCAUGGUGGGGGUUGGAAAGCUUCGGCGGUUUUGGAUGGACUCGCGGCUUAUCAGCUUGUUGGUGGGGUAGUGGCUUACCAAGGCUUUGACGGGUAGCCGGCCUGAGAGGGCGACCGGCCACAUUGGGACUGAGAUACGGCCCAGACUCCGACGGGAGGCAGAAGUGGGGAAUAUUGCACAAUGGGCGGAAGCCUGAUGCAGCAACGCCGCGUGCGGGAUGACGGCCUUCGGGUUGUAAACCGCGUUCAGCAGGGGCGAAGCUUGUGGUGACGGUACCUGCAGAAGAAGCACCGGCUAACUACGUG
rnacentral:rRNA from 1 species